rnacentral:rRNA from 1 species
GAUCCUGGCUCAGGAUGAACGCUAGCUACAGGCUUAACACAUGCAAGUCGAGGGGCAGCGGGAUUGAAGCUUGCUUCAAUUGCCGGCGACCGGCGCACGGGUGAGUAACGCGUAUCCAACCUUCCGUACACUCAGGGAUAGCCUUUCGAAAGAAAGAUUAAUACCUGAUGGUAUGAUGAGAUUGCAUGAUAUCAUCAUUAAAGAUUUAUCGGUGUACGGAUGGGG